GCUUUUGCAAUUAAUAGAGAAAAUAAGUGAAAAUGCAGAAAAAAUGAGCUUAAAUCAUCCACUGAGAAAAUAGAGGUAAAACAUAACGUCGCGCAAUUUUCGAGUUGUGAAUCAGACGGCGAUUUUCAGCUUCACUUGCAUAUCACAUCAUUUGUGAGAUAAGCUCAAACGAAAAUGUUGCCGAGGUGGGGAAGAGUUUUGAGCCGUAUAAACAGUAUUAAUAGUUUCCAGAAAAACAGUGAAUUUGUGAAGAGAGAAUCAUCACUUUUUCUAUUUCGGGAUUAUGCAAAGGUUGCUGCCGCUGUUGAGCCAGAUGUUAAGAGCGACAUCAGUAAGCCCGAGGUGAAACUUAACAC